rnacentral:rRNA from 1 species
CCAAUAGCGUAUAUUAAAGUUGUUGCAGUUAAAAAGCUCGUAGUUGAAUUUCGGGAUCGACGGGUCGGUCGCGCCUCUGGUGUGUACUGGCCCUGUCGGUUUCUCCCUUCUGAAGAACCGCGAUGUCAUUAAUUUGGUGUCGGGGGAAAUCAGGACUGUUACUUUGAAAAAAUUAGAGUGUUUAAAGCAGGCAUUCGCUUGAAUACAUUAGCAUGGAAUAAUGAAAUAGGACGUUUGAUCUUAUUUUGUUGGUUUCUAAGAUCGACGUAAUGGUUAAUAGGUAUAGUUGGGGGAAUUAGUAUUCAAUUGUCAGAGGGGAAAUUGUUGGAUUUAUUGAAGACUAACUACUGCGAAAGCAUUUGCCAAGGAUUUUUUCAUUAAUCAAGAACGAAAGUUAGGGGAUCGAAGACGAUCAGAUACCGUCGUAGUCUUAACCAUAAACUAUGCCGACUAGGGAUCGGAUGAUGUUAAUUUUUUAAUGACUCAUUCGGCGCCUUACG